GAUAAAUGACUUCAAAAUAUUUACUAAAACAAAUAUAUAAUUCGAAAAUUUAAUAAUACGCAACAAAUUAAAUUUACAAAUGAAAGAAAAUAUAAAACUUUUAGAAUAUUACUACACAAAAAUAUAAAAUUCAAAAAACAAAAAAUACAAACUAAAUUAAAUUUACGGACCCAAAAAAAUACAAACAUUCUAAAAAAUUAAUACACGAAAAUAUAAAAUUAAAAAAAACAAAUAAUACAAACUAAAUUAAAUUUACAAAUACAAAAAAAUACAAACAUUCUAAAAAAUUAAUACACAAAAAUAUAAAAUUCG
rnacentral:lncRNA from 1 species